rnacentral:sRNA from 1 species
UCCACUGAUCGGGGAAGUGUUGAAGGGUU